rnacentral:rRNA from 1 species
CUACGGGUCGCUGCGGUGGGGAAUCUUAGACAAUGGGGGAAACCCUGAUCUAGCCAUGCCGCGUGAGCGACGACGGCCCUAGGGUUGUAAAGCUCUUUCAGCAGGGAAGAUAAUGACGGUACCUGCAGAAGAAGUCCCGGCUAACUCCGUGCCAGCAGCCGCGGUAAUACGGAGGGGACAGCGUUGUUCGGAAUUACUGGGCGUAAAGCGCGCGUAGGCGGAUUGUUAAGUCGGGGGUGAAAUCCCGGGGCUCAACCCCGGAACUGCCCUCGAUACUGGCAGUCUUGAGUUCGAGAGAGGUGAGUGGAAUUCCGAGUGUAGAGGUGAAAUUCGUAGAUAUUCGGAGGAACACCAGUGGCGAAGGCGGCUCACUGGCUCGAUACUGACGCUGAGGUGCGAAAGCGUGGGGAGCAAACAGGAUUAGAUACCCUCGUAGUC